rnacentral:rRNA from 1 species
AUGAAUAUACUCCUUGAAGAAACUGAUAGUGUUUUUACUUCCACACAAACAAAAAUACAAUCAACGAAUAAUGGCAAUUCCUUUUCUAUUCCACAGAGGAUGAAACUGGGACAAAUUCUGUUCCUCAAAUGUGCCAAACAAUCACAUCCUCCUUCCAGCACCGCAUUACAACAAGUGGUAACACAAUAUAAUAACUUGAUGAUUCUUACAAGAUCACUGAAAAAAUGUAUACUCGUGCAAAGGCGCACUUUCUAUUUUUGGAUGGCCAUAAUGGUGGCAGCAUCACGCUGUUUGAUCUUGUAA